rnacentral:pre_miRNA from 1 species
CUUAUACUCCCUCUGUCCGGAAAUAUUUGUCAUAGGAAUGGAUGUAUCUAGAUGUAUUUUAGUUCUAGAUAUAUCCAUUUUUAUCCAUUUGUGUGACAAGUAAUUCCGGACGGAGGGAGUAUGUA